UCUUAGGGGUGAGCGAAGAAAGUGUUUUCUUAAGAUGGAAUCUACUCCUGGUGAAGAUGCUGGGAA
rnacentral:pre_miRNA from 1 species